UCCUUGGUCCUUGCAGAGCCUGCCCUGUAGACAGCUUCUAAGGGUUACCUGGUAAAAUAUGAAUGUGGCUCUGCUUUAAGCGUCUUACCCUAGCUGGUACUGAAUUUCCACUUUUAUUUAUGAGCCCUGUGGGCUGGGGGCCAGAUUUGAACAGAUUUUUAAAAUGAUAUGUACAUGCCUUGAAUGUUCACUAAAAAGCCAAUCAAGAGAGCUAAUGUCAGUACUUUGUGUGAGGAUUGAGGAACAGCGUGUGAGGAAUGACAACUGUCACAGACUAUAAAUGUGAUCAGUGAGAAUGGCGCUUGUCCAAAGGUCAGCCCGUUUCUUCCCUGCAGCUGCCUCAGUCCAAAGGGCACUCUGGAUGUCACUUGGGAGAUGAGGGAGAGCUUGCCGGCUGGGCCGGACCUCAGCCAGGAGGUGAGCUGGUCAGUAUAGGGGAGACAUCUGAAAUGCUCCAGACCUGACUCCUCAUCCUGUCAUUCUAGCCUGAGCCUGGAGGGGCAGAGUUGGUCUGGGUUUGAGCGGGUGGCUAUGUGCCAGAGGCAGAAACAGAACUCUGGGGGUAGGGCACAGGGAAGGGCUCUGGGCCACCUUGCUUAUCUGAUGAGUGCCUCCCCUCUUGUCACUAAUAAUGGUGAGGCUGCCAUCAUUGUCAGGUUGCGAGGGCAGGGUCCCCAUCGGCCUCAUUCAACAUGGAGUGACACAGCGUGAAGGCAAACUCACGGGUGUGCACAGAUGCAUUUGUGUGUAUGCCCACCUCUGGGGACCAUGCCAGUGGAAGUGGGCAGCAACCAUGUGGAGGGACGCAGGUGCUAGUAGGGCAGGUGUGGAUCUGUCACCACAUGACUCCCAGUGUGUGGUGGUGUAUCCUUCCUGAUUUGAACUGACUCUGGUGCAAGUUUGUUACGGGGUGUAGCACUAAGUAGGUUGUCGUUUCAGUGGAACAUGUCAAUGGCAUUGUGUGAUAUUUUGGGUAUAAGGCACAGGUACCAUAAGUGGCUAUGCAGGUUGUGCCGUGCACAACUACAGAGGGUCUUAUUGACAAAGACGGUGCCAGAUGCAAAGGUUCUGGGGACAUGUCACCGCUUCUGUGUAAUGGUGUAUGUCCUAAGUGUUGCUGUCAGUGAGAGGUGACGCAGGCGAUAGUGUGUUACCAUCAAUAUGAAGUGGUGCCGUCAUUGUUGAUAAGUGUGCAGGUGUGUGUCACAAUGGGCUGGGAUACAUGUCACUGUCACUGUAUGGGCAGAGGGAUUUGUAUGUGUGGCCAGGAGUGUGUCAUCACCACCGUGCAGGCAUACAUGUUAAAUGAGGCACCUAGAGUGACUGAUCCUUUCUUUUUCAUUCUCCACCACCCCCACCACCAGGGAAAAAACCCUUGGUAACCUAACCAGCUGGCUCAUGCCCUACCUGGGAAGUGGCAGAAACCUUUGGAUUCUCCAUUCUUCCCUUUGGUUUCUUAGAAAGAGGGUCCCAAGUUCCCUAUUUGCAUCCUGAUUCAUGGGUGGUGCUUGGAGUCUGUGUAUGUGAACAUCCUGAAGAGCCCUCCUCUAUUCCAGACCCUCCCCCCCCAGCUCAGAGCCCCUCCCUAGUCCUGCAUCUGCCUACCAGCUCCUUAGAGGUUCUCUCCUACUUUUCAUCCCAUCCCCACCCUCCCAGAUCCAGGCACUCAUUAGCAUGUCAAGGCAGUCCUCUUUCAUCCCACACAUUGUACCCUGGGAUAUCCCCACACAGUUAACUCCCUCUCAUCCUGAGUUUUCCUGAAACCUUACAUUUUCAUGUCUACCCCACCAGUCUGCAGUUCCCCCAUUAUCUGGUACAGGCACGGGAAAAUGUUUUGGUGAUAAAUACUUUCCUCCUUGCCAGUGGUUCCUUUUCCAGCUCUCUGUUGUAACAUCUGUUUCCCCUCCUCCAACGUCAGCCUUUCCAACUCUCUGGGACAUGGUUGGCCCUCCCUGUCCAUCAGGAACUCCUUGUGAUGACCCCAGAUGCUCAUGUCAUCCCAUAGCCAGCCAGUGCACCCCACCAAGACUCUUCAUUUGAGUCCUAGCACUGGACUUGCUCAGGUGCAAUCAAUGCAGCAUCAAUGUUUACCCUCUGCCCUCAGGAGGUCCCCCUUCCAGAAUGCCCCUCCACCCUUGUGACACUUGGUUCCCUUCCUCACCCCCCGCCCCCCAGGGAAAGCCUUGCUCAGAAAGGUAGUCUUUACACCUUGGAAUCUUGUCCUUAAGCAUAUGGGAUCAGAAUAAGGGUUCUGGAAUAUUCAAAUCAUAAGUAAAGGUCCAUUUCAGAAUCACAUUUAGAAUCACAGAAUCUAGAAUGACAGGCUAUCUAAACACCAUAUGUCCAAGAGUAGCCCCCUCCUACUCAGAUCCACUGGGGUGGAGAGACCUACUAAAAACACUGCAGAUUCUUGGGGCUCAUCUCAUGUGGACUGAACCAAAUCUCAGAGAUGAAAUCCCAAGAAUCUCUGAUGGUUACCAAGACCUCAGGUGUUUGGGAUACAUCCCCUAGAUGAAAAACCCUUGUCUUUGGGUCAAUAGAAUCUGAGAAUCAUAUGAGCCUGGGUCCUAAUCUUAUAGGGAACAAGUAUUGAACCAUGGAAUCACAGAAUAUUUUAGGAUUAAUAGAAACUAGAUUCAACUAAUUACACACCUUCACUCACAACUUUAGAACCUUAAGUUCUAUGAAUCUUAAUGUCUAGAAUCGUAGAGUUGGAAGUGAUCGUGCAAUGUGAUUUUGUUCCUGCUCUGGGAGACAUUUUUCUUUUUCAGCCUCACCGCUCCUUUUGGAAUGGAAGGCUUUUCCCCCCCUGUCCCUUGCAGGGCUGCCUCCGCAGUGUUGCCUACAUUUGUGAAGAUAAAUGUUCUUUCCAUCUUGGUGCAAAGGCAGCCGGCAGAACCGCUGCAUUUACGGAGCAAGUGAGCUGGACAUGACUUUUACUUUCCACUUAGGACCAGCACACCCUGGCCCACAAAACAGAUUUUGCUCUUUGAUACAAUUUGAUAAAUUAAUCUGAGGGGAUAUUAUUGCUGUUUUUACUAAUGCAGGCAUCGCUGAGGAACAUGGAUAACAGAGGUUAAUAAGCUUAUGGAGCUACUGGUCAAGAAAUAAAAGAAAAAGAACUGAGGGGCAAUAGAAUGCCGUCCUGGAGAUUGAUGGGCAAGCAUGCAAGGUGUGUGUGUGUGUGUGUGUGUGUGUGUGUGUGUGUGUGUGUGUGUGUUUGGGGAGGAGUGGAAUGAAGGGAGGAGAUGAAAUAUACAUAAAAUGUUAGUGCUGAAGAGCUACAUUUCUGGUCCUCUAGUUGAAGAAACAGAAGCCCAGAAAGGGGAAGGGACUUUCUCAAUGCCACACAGCAAGUUAAUGAAAGUCCUAACUCCUGGGUCAGGUAUUCCUUCCCAGUUGUAACUCAGUGUUCCAGCACCACAUUUCUUAAAACACCUCCAGCAUGCCAAGCACUGUUCUAGGGAUGUCACAGAUGUCAGCCCUUCCAGCUUAUGACAACCCUAUGCAGUAGGUCUUUUUUACUCCAUUGUUCAUUUAUUAAACAUAGAUGGAGAGCCUGUGACCCACCAGGCACUCUCCGAGGCAAAGAGGGAUAAGAACUUUCAGAGUUUCUCUUCCCUCUCUUUAUGCUAGAGUGAGAGAUGCAAAUACCCCAGAGAGAUAACACAUGGACCAAUUCACAAGUUCAAGAUCCUUUCAGAUCAGAGCCUCUGAUUUGAAGCACUCAGGAGUGAGCGGGGAGAGAUGGCCACCAACCGUUGACGAUAAUACAGCAUGCUAAGUGCUAUCCUUGUGAAGAGGCAGCUCUAAGGAGGAGAAUCAAAAACACACAGCUUGCAAGCCAGAUGGGAUGGGAAGCCCAAAGCAGGGAAGGGACAGGGAGGCUGGCUCCAGGGCUGCCCCAGUCACCUCAGAGGCGCCGAGGAGGAGACAAUCAAUGUUGGGCUCUGGUCAUGUAGAGAUACCGGGGAGAUCUUGCCACCCCUUCCGGAUCGUGUGGCUCUGCUCGGACCUAGUUUCCAACUCAGUGAAAUAGGGAAAUGAUCCCGACCUCUGAGGGUUUUGUGAGGCUCAGCUGAAACAAUAGGAAAUAGCAGCGUGGUCUCAGCAAGUGUUGAUCCUCUUUCUCUCCAACACCUGAGCAGGGCAGGGAUUUCUUCUGGACUUUGGGACAGUGCAACCAUUAGGCAAAGCUUCCUUUUAUGAUUUUCUUGGUCAGAGAACUCUACCUCAUGAGUCCCCUGGGUUCAUUUAAGUUGGAGUGAGAAGGAAGAAUUCGAAGCUUAGAGGAAACAGUUGAGAGGGGGGAGUGGAGCCAAAGGAGGAGAUGAAAUGCACAAAAAAGUUAGUGCAUUUCUCCUCCUUCUUCACCCUCGCUUUGAGCUUGCUCCCUUCCUCUCCAGCACACAAGGGACCGGGGUAUCAUGUCCCCAAAUGGGAAUCAUCUGAAGGAAGCUCAGAAAGGGCUUAGAGUUCAGGCCCAAGACCAGGAGGAAUUUUCCACCCACAAAUCUAAAAAUGGCUUCUCUGUGCCACUCACCCUCCACUUGUUUCUUUCUGGCAGAAAAACAAAAUAAAACAAAACCACCUUUUACUUGGCAAACAGACAAGGGGUUGGAGAAGUCUGGAGAAGAUGAAGCCAGGGAAACGCUGAAAAGUUUGAAGAGGAAGGAAUUUUCAUGUACUAAGCCUCUCACUGUGGAUUCUCGCUGAUAUCAACACUUCUGCUCACAUUGAUUGGCCAGACCUUAUACCUUGGACCUGUUGAUUUCAAGGAGCUGGGAAGCGUGGUGUUACUUGUACUCAGGGACAGAGGUACGCCAUAGAGCUGGGAUAGUGCACGUACACAUGAAGGCAUCCAGGAUAUGGCCGCUAGAAUUAGCCAUCCCAUCCCUGCUUUGGAAAGAUCAGCUUCCAUGCCCUCAUUCCACAUUCUUUCCUGAUCACCCGCUCAGGGCUGGGCAUGUCUCAGUGCUGGAAUAAGGGGUGGACAAGACAGAAGAGGUCCCUGCCUGCUGUUUCUGGUGGGAGCAGACGGGCAAUUAACAAUCCCCAUACCGAGGAGCCUCUGGCACACAGAUAUCACCCUGGUGGCUGUGAUUUCAUACUUCUGGACCUUCACACAUGGUUCCAUCUGUCCAAGAGCUAACAGAGAUUUUGGGAGGUUAAGUAACUUGGCCAAGGUCAUAAGGCCGGUAAAGAGCUGAGCUGGGACUUGACCUGAGUUUGUUUGACUUGAAGCUGGAGUUCUCAAUCAUUAUGCACCCCCAGAUCUACUGAAUCCGAGUGUCUGGCAAUGGAGAGCCAUUGAAAGGCAAGAGCUCUGCUUUAACAACUGGCAUCAUCACCUUGAUCAUCUCACAGUAGCAACACUGGGUCCGUCCUUUACAGCCAUCCACUUCUUACGUCUGUGUGGUGCAGAGCAUCUCAAAAGUUGUGGCACAGUGUGACACACUGACUAGGUAGGUUGAAAAAUUCCACCAUUAUCAAUUUCACACAUGACUUGUUUUCCUGUUUUUAUUGAUGUUCUUAAGAUCCUAGCUGUCAUUAUUCCAACAAAUCAAUUUGUACUAAUUGUUGAGGGAGAAAAGAAGGAAAAAUGUUAUUUCUUGAACACUUAUUUUACCUUACUCAAUUCUAAACAGCCACUUGAAGGGAAAUGUUAUCACCUCCAGUUUACAGGUAAAGAAACAACGACUCAGAGAAGCAAGAAUGGUAAAUGCUCAUAAAACAGUACAAUCAGGUUGCAUAAAAAUUACUGUGGAAUUUAUGGGCUAUGGAAGUUCCCAGGCUAGGGGUCAAAUGAAGCCAGUUCAAGUCCAUAUCAAGAUAUUCCACAUGAUUGGAGUUCCCAUCAUGGCUCAGUGGUUAGCGAAUCCGACUAGGAACCAUGAGGUUGCAGGUUCGAUCCCUGGCCUCACUCAGUGGGUUAAGGAUCCGG